rnacentral:rRNA from 1 species
CAGUCGCCGCGGUAAUACGGAGGGAGCUAGCGUUGUUCGGAAUUACUGGGCGUAAAGCGCGCGUAGGCGGUUACUUAAGUCAGAGGUGAAAGCCCGGGGCUCAACCCCGGAACUACCUUUGAAACUAGGUGACUAGAAUCUUGGAGAGGUCAGUGGAAUUCCGAGUGUAGAGGUGAAAUUCGUAGAUAUUCGGAAGAACACCAGUGGCGAAGGCGACUGACUGGACAAGUAUUGACGCUGAGGUGCGAAAGCGUGGGGAGCAAACAGGAUUAGAUACCCCCGUAGUCCCUGUCUCUUAUAC